GAUGAAGAACGUAGUGAAAUGCGAUAAGUAGUGUGAAUUGCAGAAUUCAGUGAAUCAUCGAAUCUUUGAACGCACAUUGCGCCCCUUGGUAUUCCAUGGGGCAUGCCUGUUCGAGCGUCAUUAUCCAUCCCUCAAACCUCGUGUUUGAUGUUGGGCUUUUCUGAACCGUCACAAGUUUAGAUGCCUCAAAGGUAAUGACGGCGUCCUCGUGGGACUCGACGCACUGAGCUUUUUUGCAAAGGCACGCGUUGUAGGAUCGCGGGUGACCCGGUCUAACUCUUAAAAAAAUUUUUACAAGGUUGACCUCGGAUCAGGUAGGGAUACCCGCUGAACUUAAGCAUAUCAAUAAGCGGAGGA
rnacentral:misc_RNA from 1 species